rnacentral:rRNA from 1 species
UGGAGGANNGAAGGCCCUNNGGUUGUAAACUCCUUUUGCUAGGGAAGAAAUGCGAUCAGGUGAACAAUCUGGUCGUUUGACGGUACCUGGCGAAUAAGCUCCGGCUAACUCCGUGCCAGCAGCCGCGGUAACACGGGGGGAGCAAGCGUUGUUCGGAAUUACUGGGCGUAAAGGGCGUGUAGGCGGUUAGGUAAGUGGGA